ACGCACGCUGGCGGCAUGCCUAACCCAUGCAAGUCGAACGAGACCUUCGGGUCUAGUGGCGCACGGGUGCGUAACGCGUGGGAACCUGCCCUUAGGUUCGGAAUAACUCCCCGAAAGGGGUGCUAAUACCGGAUAAUGUCUUCGGACCAAAGAUUUAUCGCCUUUGGAUGGGCCCGCGUUGGAUUAGCUAGUUGGUAGGGUAAAAGCCUACCAAGGCGACGAUCCAUAGCUGGUCUGAGAGGAUGAUCAGCCACACUGGGACUGAGACACGGCCCAGACUCCUACGGGAGGCAGCAGUGGGGAAUAUUGGACAUUGGGCGAAAGCCUGAUCCAGCAAUGCCGCGUGAGUGAUGAAGGCCUUAGGGUUGUAAAGCUCUUUUACCCGGGAUGAUAAUGACAGUACCGGGAGAAUAAGCUCCGGCUAACUCCGUG
rnacentral:rRNA from 1 species